rnacentral:rRNA from 1 species
GACGAACGCUGGCGGCGUGCUUAACACAUGCAAGUCGAACGGAAAGGCCCUGCUUUUGUGGGGUGCUCGAGUGGCGAGCGGGUGAGUAACACGUGAGUAACCUGCCCUUGGCUUUGGGAUAACUUCAGGAAACUGGGGCUAAUACCGGAUAGGAGCUCCUGCUGCAUGGUGGGGGUUGGAAAGUUUCGGCGGUUGGGGAUGGACUCGCGGCUUAUCAGCUUGUUGGUGGGGUAGUGGCUUACCAAGGCUUUGACGGGUAGCCGGCCUGAGAGGGUGACCGGCCACAUUGGGACUGAGAUACGGCCCAGACUCCUACGGGAGGCAGCAGUGGGGAAUAUUGCACAAUGGGCGGAAGCCUGAUGCAGAAACGCCGCGUGCGGGAUGACGGCCUUCGGGUUGUAAACCGCUUUCGCCUGUGACGAAGCGUGAGUGACGGUAAUGGGUAAAGAAGCACCGGCUAACUACGUG